UGACAGGUGGUGCAUGGUUGUCGUCAGCUCGUGUCGUGAGAUGUUGGGUUAAGUCCCGCAACGAGCGCAACCCUCGCCUCUAGUUGCCAGCAUUCGGUUGGGCACUCUAGAGGGACUGCCGGCGACAAGUCGGAGGAAGGUGGGGAUGACGUCAAAUCAUCAUGCCCCUUAUGACCUGGGCUACACACGUGCUACAAUGGGCGGUACAAAGGGCUGCGAACCCGCGAGGGGGAGCGAAUCCCAAAAAGCCGCUCUCAGUUCGGAUUGCAGGCUGCAACUCGCCUGCAUGAAGCCGGAAUCGCUAGUAAUCGCGGAUCAGCAUGCCGCGGUGAAUACGUUCCCGGGCCUU
rnacentral:rRNA from 1 species